ensembl:lncRNA
GCGCGUUUGUUCUUCCCAGUUCCGUGUUUCUUGUGAAGGGUAAGCACUUUGUGGUUUUUAUUUAUUUCUUUCUACUAGAAAAGUUUUUUAAGUCUCGUUCUGUAGUGUUACACAGUGCUAAAGUUGUACGAAUAAAACUAAAAUUAAAAUAACUAAAAUUAAGGAUUUUCGUGUAGUUCCGCGCUGACCACGUGGCUCGUUUCCUGUGCACCCGGGAAAGUUCUAGAGACAAAGAAACCUUGACUGGUUCUGGUUUACUAUUCUAUUAUACUAGCCUAUUUAGAGCAUAUGGUUGUUACUAAGAUGGAUGCACACAAGUUAAUGUUAUUCAAUUGUUUCAACGUUGCACAUGGUAAUUAAGCAGUAGGUUUUUUCCAGUGGCUACACUAUCUUAGCAGCUGUAUUAUGAAUUUCACUCUAUAUCUGUUUGUUUUACAGUAUGUGGGCUGUUGGACCAUGGAGGUUUCCUACAGUGCUUCCUCAGAUUUUGGUGAGUUUAGAUUUCCUCUAGACUUUGCUUCAACACUUUUGUUAGCAAUGAUGACUGAUCUUUUUUCCCCAGCAGAUCGACACUGUUGACCUUUUUCUUAAAAAAAUAAGCCAAAUGAUCUGAGCAACCAUAUAGUUGUGCCAAAAUUUGACGUUCGUGUUUUGAAAAGUCAUUGACGUUUACUACUCCCUAUCCCACAGAUCAUACUGGAGCCAAAUGGAUGACCUUAAAUUCAUCAGACUUCGUUUCAUAAGUCUUUAACUCCCCAAAACAGGUGAGACUGGGUGUGUUCUUAGCACAACUGGUUGCCAUUCACACGGUGCAUGUGAUGACUGAUCUUUUUUCCCCAGCAGAUCGAUAGUGUUGACAUUUGCUCUAAACUUUAAGCCAAUUUCUCUGAAGCACCAUUAGAAUCGCUUUGCAUACAUAGUGGUACUUUUCUUGUUCUGAAGUCCUUUUUUAUGUCUUUCCAAAAAAAGGAGAAUUCUGUAAUUCAAGAGGACCACACAAUGAGAGACCCUUGACGAAUGGCCACAUGUGAAGGCGUUUGAGCGACCUGUGUUCCUGAAUGCCCUUCAGUGCCAAGCCCACGUGGAGCAGUGGAUGACAUACACGAGGGGUUUUCUCAAAGCAGACUAGUGUUUACCAGCCAUAGGAGAGGAAAUACCUUUUUAAAGUUUUAGAGUAUUAAAGUUGCUAUUAUUUUGACCUACUAGUGUUCCAACAUGCUUUUUGAGGCAUUCAAGUUUGUUCAACUUUAAUUUCUCAGAAUGCUUUCACUAAUUAUUGCUUGUAACUUGUUGGUUCUAUGCUUGUGUAAAUGGUCUUUCAGCAGGCAGUUACCUCUUUUACUGUUUCAAUAAAACUAGUUAAUGACUUUGCAUUUAUGAAAACUGUGUGUGGGGGGCUUUUUUUGUGUGUGACCUUUUUAUAGAGGUCAAAUAAUGUAAAUCAAGCUAAGCUUUCAGUGGUGUGAAAUUUGUGUGGGGGUCAUGCAAAUGUUAAAUUGUAUGAUUAAUGUAGGUUGUGUCUAAAAUGCAGGAACUUAGAGGUCAUUAUUUUUAGGUCCUAUCAAGAUAAUGGUGCUCUUAUGCAUUUAACACCAUAAUUAAAUACUAUACUGCACACGGUUUUAAAGCAUUCUUCCAUGUUAACCAAGCAGUAGCUCUUUACAUGUUUCUUCUGUUAUAUGAAUGGUCACAAAGCCUGCUUCUCCAAGGUUUUAAAUUAGUGAAUUGUACAUCCACUAAAAUUGAAAUAACUGACAUUUGUAUAGGGCACUAAGAAAUGUGUUCUGUCCCCAUUUGAUUCACAGACAGAAAAGGCAAUAUCAAUCUUUUGUACAAAAUAUACAGACGUCUUAAGACUUCAAGACAUCCCACACUAAAAAAAAAAACUCAUUCCGAUAAAUCCACCCAAUGCUGCAACAAUUCUCUCUUUUGUGUCUGCAGUGAUGUAACCGCAAUCUAUGAUCCA